rnacentral:lncRNA from 1 species
ACUGGAUAUGCCCGAGGCCUCCAGAGGAAAGGAAAGGAGGAAAAGGGACAGAAGAAAUGUUCACAGGAACUGCAUAUGGGCCUGCUACUUGUGUCAAAAUGUGACUGAACUCUCUUCCAGCAGUGUGAAUCCCUGGAAGGCAAGAUCGCCAUUCUGGUCUCUUGUGGAUAUCAAUGCUGAUCUCAGCUUCUGAUGCACGGCAGUCAAUUAAUAAAUGAUUGUUGCCUGAAAAACUGAGCCCCAAAACAAUAUUACAAGUUU